AGAAAAAAACAAAAAAUGCUCAACGUCACUAAUCAUCAGGGAAAUGCAAAUCAAAACCACGAUGAGAUAUCAUUUUAUACUUGUCAAAAUGACUAUUACCAAAAAGACAAUAAACAACAAAUAUUAGUGUGAGUGUGGAGAAAAUGGAACCCUUCUGCAUUGUUGUUAGGAAUGUAUAUUAGUACAGCUAUUAUGGAAAACAGCAUAGCAGUCCUCAAAAAAUUAUAGAGCUACCAAAUGACUCAUUAAUUCCACUAGUGGCUAUUUAUCCAAAGGAAAUAAAAUCAGUAUAGAUAUAGCUGCACUCCCAUGUUUAUUGCAACACUAUUCACAUUAACCAAGAUACAGAAUCAGUCUAAGUGUCCAAUAACAGGUGAAUGGAUCAAGAAAAUGCAGUGUAUAUACUCAAUGGAAUGCUAUUCCCCCAUAAAAAAGAAUGAGAUCCUGUCAUUUGUGGAAACAUGGAUGAACCUGGAGGUCUUUGGAUUAACUGAAAUAAGCCAGGUACAGAAAGACAAAUAUCACAUGAUUUCACUGAUUUGCAGAAUUUCAGAAAGCUGAUGUCAUAGAAAUACAGAGUAGAAUAGUGGUUACCAGAGGAUGAGGAGGGGUGAGGGGGUGGGGGGGCAUGAGGAGAGACUGAUCAAUAGGUACAAAAUUGCAGACAGGAGGAACAAGUUCUGGUGUUCUGUUGCACAGUAGGAUGACCAUCGUUAACAAUAUUGCAUUGUGUUUUUCAAAGUAACUAGAUGAAAGAAUUUUGAAUGUUCUCACCACAAAGAAAUGAUAAAUGUUUGGGCUGAUGGAUAUGCUAAUUGCUCUGAUUUGAUCAUCACACAAUGUAGACAU